GAAUGACAUACCCUUUAUUUUCUCUCUGGUAUUUGAGAAGGUGGGAUGGCGGCAGUCGCAGGAGAUGAAGACGAAGGGAAGAAGCAGGGUCCCCUCUCCGUCACCUUCCCAGACGCUCGGCCGCAAGACUUCCCAUCUCUCAAGCUUGAAGUAGAAGACUCUUCAGAAGGCAUGAGCCCUAGAAACAUGUGGCAGGUGUAUGCUCUUGGAGGUUUCUUGGUUUUGAGGUGGGUAUGGGCUCGGUGGAGGGAGAGGAAGGGCAGAGGAGACUCAUCAUCUGUAGAACCAUCGGAUUGACUCUGGCUUGUGCAUCUCUGGUGAUUCUCACAGGAUGGAAUCUUGGAUGAAGGCUCAUAUAUGGUUCCCCCACCCUUUUGACAAAAAAGAAAAAAGAAAAGGAAGAAGAAGAAGAAGAAGAAGAAGACAGGAAAUGCAAUUCAUGAUCUUGACUAUUGGAUGCCAUUUAAUCCCAAUCCCAUCUUUUAGAAUCAGAUGUAAGUUGUACUCUUUCUUACUGCACCUUUCUCCUUCCUUUUUUCAAAGAGAACUACAAACCCCUCAAAAGAAAGAAAAAGUUUGAAGAAAAGAGACCCUUCCGUAGUGUA